rnacentral:tRNA from 1 species
GCGCCCGUAGCUCAGAUGGAUAGAGCAUCUGCCUUCUAAGCAGAUGGUCGCGUGUUCGACUCACGCCGGGCGCGCCA